CGCCGCUGCCGCCGCCGCCGCCGCCGGCGGCGGCUGAAGACGUGCCGCUCUGCCAGGGCUGCCGCAUACGGCCGGCGCAGUUUGUGUGCGCCGGCUGCGGCAACCAGUGGUAUUGCUCCCGCGAGUGUCAGGUGGCAGCGUGGGACAGUCAUGCGGAUGACUGCUCGGGCUGAGUCGGCCGGCCGGCGACCGACGCUGCCAGAGGGACCACGCCACGCUCACCGGCUCGCCGCCCCCGCCCCGCCCCGCCCCGCCGCGUGCAGAGCUUGGUGCCGGCGCUCGCUCACCGCGGGACGCCAUGUUGUGUGUAUAGAGGGGGAGGGACAAUCAGCUGUCGUUAAUCAUGUUGUAUGAGUUCAAGGCGCGCUGUGCGGGAUUUGUUGUUGUUGAGGUGAACGCGGCUGUUGUUGGCGCCGACACCAUUGACUUUUAUGUACAAUAAGUGUGGACACGCUCAGAUCUGAUGCGACGUGGCUCGCAGAGCCUCUAUUUUGUGCGGUAUUUUCUGUCCCCAGCUAUUUUACUAUUUAUGAUAAUCGGCGCAACACUCGCCGGGCCGGCCCGCGUGCUGGCAGCCCGCGCGCGUGCGUUAUGUUGCCGGCGGCUUUUACAUCACUGGCUUGUGCCAUGGCGAUCGUUGGGCGUUGACGGGAUGUGCAUGUAUGUGCCCUGAUGUUGUGAAUACAUUUGGAGGGUUCUGA